GAUGAACGCUAGCGGCAGGCCUAAUACAUGCAAGUCGAACGGUAAAUAUUUAGCAAUAGAUAUGAGAGUGACGUACGGGUGCGUAACACGUAUGCAACCUACCCUUUACAGGCGGAUAGCUCGGGGAAACUCGGAUUAACCCGUCAUAAGAUCAUAGAGUGGCAUCACUUAGUGAUUAAAUACGCAAGAGGUAAAGGAAUGGGCAUGCGUCUGAUUAGUUAGUUGGCGGGGUAAGUGGCCC
rnacentral:rRNA from 1 species